UACGUAGGCGGAAUAUUAAGUCAGUGGUGAAAUCCUGCGGCUCAACCGUAGAACUGCCAUUGAUACUGAUGUUCUUGAAUAUAGUUGAGGUAGGCGGAAUGUGUAAUGUAGCGGUGAAAUGCUUAGAUAUUACACAGAACACCGAUUGCGAAGGCAGCUUACUAAGCUAUGAUUGACGCUGAGGUACGAAAGCGUGGGGAGCGAACAGGAUUAGAUACCCUGGUAGUCC
rnacentral:rRNA from 1 species